ACAGUCCCAGGACCAGGAUGGACAAUAUCUCUCAAGAACAUGAUUGUUCUAAUCACGUCCAUAAGUUUGAGAUGGUUGUCCAAAAUAUGCAUCUCUCCUUGGAAAGGUCUGUUAUUACUAUUAGCUAUCUAAUCCAUAAAACCAUCUGUAACCAAUGAGAAACUAAACAUUUUAACCCUUUAUUCAUUGUUCAAUCCUAGCACCAGGAUGGACAAUAUCUCUCAAGAACAUGAUUGUUCUAAUCACGUCCAUAAGUUUGAGAUGGUUGUCCAACAUAUACAGCUCUCCUUGGAAAGUCCCAGGACCAGGAUGGACAAUAUCUAUCAAGAACAUGAUUGUUCUAAUCACGUCCAUAAGUUUGAGAUGGUUGUCCAACAUAUACAGCUCUCCUUGGAAAGGACCAGGAUGGACAAUAUCUCUCAAGAACAUGAUUGUUCUAAUCACGUCCAUAAGUUUGAGAUGGUUGUCCAUCAUAUUCACUUUUCUUUGGAAAGGUCUGUUAUUACUAUUAGCUAUCUAAUCUAUAAAACCAACUGUAACCAAUAAGAAACUAAAGAUUUGAAACUGUUUCAUUCUACAGUCUAAUCUAUAAUACCCGUUGAAAACAGUGAGGAAUGUGUCAGUUG
rnacentral:lncRNA from 1 species